rnacentral:rRNA from 1 species
GCUCGACCUCAAAUCAGGUAGGAAUACCCGCUGAACUUAAGCAUAUCAAUA